GGUAAAACUGUGGUCUCGUGUGGUUUUCCAUACCGGCUCUCGGCGAGGAUUUUCAAGAAAGGAAUACCAUCUCCAAAUCAUGAUGUGCCAAUAAGCUCCAGUUAGCUGCGGCCUUUUCCCCAGGCGGUAGUCCUGCAAUCUGAAUCCAGGAGAUGCAGCUCUGAAUCCAAUAUUUCAGAAGAAUGAAGAUGAAGCAGACCCAGGAGGAACUGUCUGUUGAAGAACCCCCCCCCCCCCACCAAGCUGCCCACCAGAGGCCAAGCUGUACUUGGUGUUUGCCAACAUCCUGUAAUUUCCAGCCUGGUUGCUGUAGCCACAGAGGAAUUUUCAAGGACAAGAACCAGUGCUGGUAAAACUGUGGUCUCGUGUGGUUUUCCAUACCGGCUCUCGGCGAGGAUUUUCAAGAAAGGAAUACCAUCUCCAAAUCAUGAUGUGCCAAUAAGCUCCAGUUAGCUGCGGCCUUUUCCCCAGGCGGUAGUCCUGCAAUCUGAAUCCAGGAGAUGCAGCUCUGAAUCCAAUAUUUCAGAAGAAUGAAGAUGAAGCAGACCCAGGAGGAACUGUCUGUUGAAGAACCCCCCCCCCCCACCAAGCUGCCCACCAGAGGCCAAGCUGUACUUGGUGUUUGCCAACAUCCUGUAAUUUCCAGCCUGGUUGCUGUAGCCACAGAGGAAUUUUCAAGGACAAGAACCAGUGCUGGUAAAACUGUGGUCUCGUGUGGUUUUCCAUACCGGCUCUCGGCGAGGAUUUUCAAGAAAGGAAUACCAUCUCCAAAUCAUGAUGUGCCAAUAAGCUCCAGUUAGCUGCGGCCUUUUCCCCAGGCGGUAGUCCUGCAAUCUGAAUCCAGGAGAUGCAGCUCUGAAUCCAAUAUUUCAGAAGAAUGAAGAUGAAGCAGACCCAGGAGGAACUGUCUGUUGAAGAACCCCCCCCCCCCCCCACCAAGCUGCCCACCAGAGGCCAAGCUGUACUUGGUGUUUGCCAACAUCCUGUAAUUUCCAGCCUGGUUGCUGUAGCCACAGAGGAAUUUUCAAGGACAAGAACCAGUGCUGGUAAAACUGUGGUCUCGUGUGGUUUUCCAUACCGGCUCUCGGCGAGGAUUUUCAAGAAAGGAAUACCAUCUCCAAAUCAUGAUGUGCCAAUAAGCUCCAGUUAGCUGCGGCCUUUUCCCCAGGCGGUAGUCCUGCAAUCUGAAUCCAGGAGAUGCAGCUCUGAAUCCAAUAUUUCAGAAGAAUGAAGAUGAAGCAGACCCAGGAGGAACUGUCUGUUGAAGAACCCCCCCCCCCCCCCCACCAAGCUGCCCACCAGAGGCCAAGCUGUACUUGGUGUUUGCCAACAUCCUGUAAUUUCCAGCCUGGUUGCUGUAGCCACAGAGGAAUUUUCAAGGACAAGAACCAGUGCUGGUAAAACUGUGGUCUCGUGUGGUUUUCCAUACCGGCUCUCGGCGAGGAUUUUCAAGAAAGGAAUACCAUCUCCAAAUCAUGAUGUGCCAAUAAGCUCCAGUUAGCUGCGGCCUUUUCCCCAGGCGGUAGUCCUGCAAUCUGAAUCCAGGAGAUGCAGCUCUGAAUCCAAUAUUUCAGAAGAAUGAAGAUGAAGCAGACCCAGGAGGAACUGUCUGUUGAAGAACCUCCCCCCCCCCACCAAGCUGCCCACCAGAGGCCAAGCUGUACUUGGUGUUUGCCAACAUCCUGUAAUUUCCAGCCUGGUUGCUGUAGCCACAGAGGAAUUUUCAAGGACAAGAACCAGUGCUGGUAAAACUGUGGUCUCGUGUGGUUUUCCAUACCGGCUCUCGGCGAGGAUUUUCAAGAAAGGAAUACCAUCUCCAAAUCAUGAUGUGCCAAUAAGCUCCAGUUAGCUGCGGCCUUUUCCCCAGGCGGUAGUCCUGCAAUCUGAAUCCAGGAGAUGCAGCUCUGAAUCCAAUAUUUCAGAAGAAUGAAGAUGAAGCAGACCCAGGAGGAACUGUCUGUUGAAGAACCUCCCCCCCCCACCAAGCUGCCCACCAGAGGCCAAGCUGUACUUGGUGUUUGCCAACAUCCUGUAAUUUCCAGCCUGGUUGCUGUAGCCACAGAGGAAUUUUCAAGGACAAGAACCAGUGCUGGUAAAACUGUGGUCUCGUGUGGUUUUCCAUACCGGCUCUCGGCGAGGAUUUUCAAGAAAGGAAUACCAUCUCCAAAUCAUGAUGUGCCAAUAAGCUCCAGUUAGCUGCGGCCUUUUCCCCAGGCGGUAGUCCUGCAAUCUGAAUCCAGGAGAUGCAGCUCUGAAUCCAAUAUUUCAGAAGAAUGAAGAUGAAGCAGACCCAGGAGGAACUGUCUGUUGAAGAACCCCCCCCCCCCACCAAGCUGCCCACCAGAGGCCAAGCUGUACUUGGUGUUUGCCAACAUCCUGUAAUUUCCAGCCUGGUUGCUGUAGCCACAGAGGAAUUUUCAAGGACAAGAACCAGUGCUGGUAAAACUGUGGUCUCGUGUGGUUUUCCAUACCGGCUCUCGGCGAGGAUUUUCAAGAAAGGAAUACCAUCUCCAAAUCAUGAUGUGCCAAUAAGCUCCAGUUAGCUGCGGCCUUUUCCCCAGGCGGUAGUCCUGCAAUCUGAAUCCAGGAGAUGCAGCUCUGAAUCCAAUAUUUCAGAAGAAUGAAGAUGUUAGUCAACUCAGUAGUGCUUGUUUGUGUGUAAAUGAUUCCAAUGAGUGAGAUUUAUAGCAAAUCAGGUGUAAAUAAGCAUCUUAUAGACAAUAGUGAAGUGCUGUACUCUGAAUUUAAUGCCAAAUCUAGCCUUCAAAACAGAUUCUUAAAGUAAUUUUUUUUUAAAAAUGGGCAUAAUAAUGCUAUCUCUGCAUUUUCUACAUCAUGUAGCCACCUCAUACAUGAAAACACUAGCAGUUGUCAUGAAUCUUUAAGUUUUGGUGUGUUUUUUUGCCAUUUCCUUUGUUGCGCCAUUUGUCCCGGAAGCCAACAAUUUGGCAUAUAGUGUUGUUUAGACUGUCUAUUAACACAUUAUCACUAAAUUUCUUGUGUUAAACUGAACAGUUCUGUUACCUUUGUAUAUAAGUGGACCAGAAAAGCAAAAUUUUGACAAGUUGAGGCAUUUCAGUUGGGCUCUAUGUCAUUUUUUAUAUAAAACACUAAGCCGAUGAAGUGGAAAAACCUUAUUUUGCUUAGAAAAAAAUCUUAAAAGAGUAGGCAGGCCAGUUUUGUGGUGCUGUUCUAUAGACACCAUUAAAAGCUACAAGGAAAACUUUACUUGGUCAAAUUAUUCCAAUGCAUAAGGAAAUAAUGGCUCUUCAAAGGUUUGCGGCUUAACAUUUGAGGAAAAUGGCUGUUUCUGCCUUUUAUGAAAAUACCACAGGUGCUAAUACUUGUCUCAUUCAUUUAGUAUUUGAUAUAUCAUUGCCAAACUUUCAGUAUGUGUUGCAUAUAGCCUGAAGCUGAACUAUAGGAGUUUUGAAGUCUGUUUCUGAAAAAAUGUUGCUUAAAUAGGCUCAAGACCACAGUUAUCUGCCCCCCGUUGACCAA